rnacentral:rRNA from 1 species
UUUCGUGGAGGGUUCGAUUCUGGCUCAGGAUGAACGCUGGCGGCGUGCUUAACACAUGCAAGUCGAACGGGAUCUGACCAGCUUGCUGGUUGGUGAGAGUGGCGAACGGGUGAGUAAUGCGUGACCAACCUGCCCCAUGCUCCAGAAUAGCUCUUGGAAACGGGUGGUAAUGCUGGAUGCUCCAACUUGACGCAUGUCUUGUUGGGAAAGUGUUUAGUGGCAUGGGAUGGGGUCGCGUCCUAUCAGCUUGUAGGCGGGGUAAUGGCCCACCUAGGCUUCGACGGGUAGCCGGCCUGAGAGGGCGGACGGCCACAUUGGGACUGAGAUACGGCCCAGACUCCUACGGGAGGCAGCAGUGGGGAAUAUUGCGCAAUGGGGGAAACCCUGACGCAGCGACGCCGCGUGCGGGAUGAAGGCCUUCGGGUUGUAAACCGCUUUUGAUUGGGAGCAAGCCUUUUGGGUGAGUGUACCUUUCGAAUAAGCGCCGGCUAACUACGUGCCAGCAGCCGCGGUAAUACGUAGGGCGCAAGCGUUAUCCGGAAUUAUUGGGCGUAAAGAGCUUGUAGGCGGUUCGUCGCGUCUGGUGUGAAAGCCCAUCGCUUAACGGUGGGUUUGCGCCGGGUACGGGCGGGCUAGAGUGCAGUAGGGGAGACUGGAAUUCUCGGUGUAACGGUGGAAUGUGUAGAUAUCGGGAAGAACACCAAUGGCGAAGGCAGGAAUUAGGCUUAAUGAAGGAUGCAC